AAAAACAUAACCUUUAGCCAAACAAGUAUUAAAGGCAACGCCUGCCCAGUGAAUAAUUAAACGGCCGCGGUAUCCUAACCGUGCAAAGGUAGCAUAAUCAUUUGUCUACUAACUAUAGACCUGUAUGAAAGGCAAAAUGAGGGUCUAACUGUCUCUUAUAAUAAAUCAAUUAAACUGAUCUCCUAGUAAAAAAGCUAGAAUGACAACAUAAGACCAGAAGACCCUGUGAAGCUUAAAUCAAACUAUUAAACCUUAUAAUAACUACUUUCGGUUGGGGCGACCUUGGAAAAAAAUAGAACUUCCAAGACCCAGCAUAGCUGAUAAUUGAACCAAGUUACUCCAGGGAUAACAGCGCAAUCCUCUUCAAGAGCCCAUAUCAAAAAGAGGGUUUACGACCUCGAUGUUGGAUCAGGACAUCCUAAUGGUGCAGCCGCUAUUAAGGGUUCGUUUGUUCAACGAUUAAUAGUCCUACGUGAUCUGA
rnacentral:rRNA from 1 species